rnacentral:rRNA from 1 species
GACAGAGGGUGCAAACGUUGUUCGGAAUUACUGGGCGUAAAGGGCUCGUAGGCGGCCAACUAAGUCGGACGUGAAAUCCCUCGGCUCAACCGGGGAACUGCGUCCGAUACUGGAUGGCUUGAAUCCGGGAGAGGGAUGCGGAAUUCCAGGUGUAGCGGUGAAAUGCGUAGAUAUCUGGAGGAACACCGGUGGCGAAGGCGGCAUCCUGGACCGGCAUUGACGCUGAGGAGCGAAAGCCAGGGGAGCAAACGGG